rnacentral:rRNA from 1 species
UGCAAGUCGAACGCUUUGUGGUUCAACUGAUUUGAAGAGCUUGCUCAGAUAUGACGAUGGACAUUGCAAAGAGUGGCGAACGGGUGAGUAACACGUGGGAAACCUACCUCUUAGCAGGGGAUAACAUUUGGAAACAGAUGCUAAUACCGUAUAACAAUGACAACCGCAUGGUUGUAAUUUAAAAGAUGGUUCUGCUAUCACUAAGAGAUGGUCCCGCGGUGCAUUAGCUAGUUGGUAAGGUAAUGGCUUACCAAGGCGAUGAUGCAUAGCCGAGUUGAGAGACUGAUCGGCCACAAUGGGACUGAGACACGGCCCAUACUCCUACGGGAGGCAGCAGUAGGGAAUCUUCCACAAUGGGCGAAAGCCUGAUGGAGCAACGCCGCGUGUGUGAUGAAGGGUUUCGGCUCGUAAAACACUGUUGUAAGAGAAGAAUGACAUUGAGAGUAACUGUUCAAUGUGUGACGGUAUCUUACCAGAAAGGAACGGCUAAAUACGUGCCAGCAGCCGCGGUAAUACGUAUGUUCCAAGCGUUAUCCGGAUUUAUUGGGCGUAAAGCGAGCGCAGACGGUUAUUUAAGUCUGAAGUGAAAGCCCUCAGCUCAACUGAGGAAUUGCUUUGGAAACUGGAUGACUUGAGUGCAGUAGAGGAAAGUGGAACUCCAUGUGUAGCGGUGAAAUGCGUAGAUAUAUGGAAGAACACCAGUGGCGAAGGCGGCUUUCUGGACUGUAACUGACGUUGAGGCUCGAAAGUGUGGGUAGCAAACAGGAUUAGAUACCCUGGUAGUCCACACCGUAAACGAUGAGUGCUAGGUGUUUGAGGGUUUCCGCCCUUAAGUGCCGCAGCUAACGCAUUAAGCACUCCGCCUGGGGAGUACGACCGCAAGGUUGAAACUCAAAGGAAUUGACGGGGACCCGCACAAGCGGUGGAGCAUGUGGUUUAAUUCGAAGCAACGCGAAGAACCUUACCAGGUCUUGACAUCCCUUGACAACUCCAGAGAUGGAGCGUUCCCUUCGGGGACAAGGUGACAGGUGGUGCAUGGUUGUCGUCAGCUCGUGUCGUGAGAUGUUGGGUUAAGUCCCGCAACGAGCGCAACCCUUAUUACUAGUUGCCAGCAUUCAGUUGGGCACUCUAGUGAGACUGCCGGUGACAAACCGGAGGAAGGUGGGGAUGACGUCAAAUCAUCAUGCCCCUUAUGACCUGGGCUACACACGUGCUACAAUGGCGUAUACAACGAGUUGCCAACCCGCGAGGGUGAGCUAAUCUCUUAAAGUACGUCUCAGUUCGGAUUGUAGGCUGCAACUCGCCUACAUGAAGUCGGAAUCGCUAGUAAUCGCGAUCAGCAACGCCU